UUUGAGACUAUGAUGUUGAAUACCUACCUAUUUGCUGAUAAGGGAAUUCAUUCCCUUUGUGAUUAGAAACCAUCUAAUUCUUCUGAGUCUCAU